CUCAGUUCCCUAGAAAAAAAGAAAAAUCUGAAUCUGUAUGUUGCUUUAUUUUACUUCUAUAUAUGUAUGUUGCUUUAUUUUACUUCUAUAUCUGUAUGUUUCUUUAUUUUAUUUCUUUUUUGGUUUCAUCUUUUAGAGUUAAAUGUAAAGAUUGAAAAAUUUCUUUUGCGUUCUAUUCUCUGUUCUUUUUCAUCACUAUGUGAUUGAAUUCUAUUCAUUUGUUUGUUUUCAUCAUUAUGCAAUUGAAUUAGUUUUACUUCAUCUUUAGGUAAAGAUGUCAAUGGAAAGUAUUGAUGAUUCUUGUGAACAAAGCUCUUCAACUACGCUAAAACGAGUAAAAAGACAAACGUCUACUGUUUGGGAUUCUUUUGUUAAGGUAGAAGAGCCUAGUAUUCAUAGUGAUGGAAAGUUUAAAGUCAAAUGUACUCUUUGUGAAAAAGACUAUAUGUACGAUUCUAAAUUUGGAACAUCGAAUUUGAAGUGUCAUUUGCUGAUAAAACAUCCACUGGAUAAUGCAAAAGAGGGACAAAGUGCACCAAUAGAUCAAAAAAUUUAUCGAGAGAAAAUGUCAUUGGCCAUAGUCAGGCAUAACUAUGCUUUCAGUUUUGUAGAACAUAAAGGCAUCAGGGACCUUCAUUUAUACUUAAAUCCCGUUGGCAAGCACAUAUCAAGAAACACAACCAAGUCAGAUAUCUUGAAUAUGUAUGCAGGCGAAAAAGAGUAAACCUUCAUUUAUACUUAAAUCCUGUUGUCAAGCACAUAUCAAGAAACACAGCCAAGUCAGAUAUCUUGAAUAUGUAUGCGGGCGAAAAAGAACUUUUGAAAAGUGAGCUUGCAGUUAUUCCUAGUAGAGUAUAUUUAACCUCAGACAUGUGGACUUCAUUAACAUCUAAUGGGUAUAUGUGUGUUACGGCCCAUUAUGUAGAUUUAAAUUGGGUUCUUCAGAAGAGGGUGUUGAUUUUUCGUCAUGUUCCUCCUCCACAUUCGGGCGCGGUUUUAGGUCCCUUAUUGAUUAGCUUUCUUAAAGAAUGGGGAAUCGAAAAGAAAAUCUUCACCCUUACUAUGGAUAAUGCUACUUGCAAUAAUGGUGUAGUGGAUAAUUUAAAGAAUCAUUUGUCUUUGAUGUGUUCACUAGUUUGCGAGGGAAAGUAUCUUCAUGUCCAUUGUGGGAAUCAUGUUUUGAACUUAAUUGUUAAGACGGGCUUAGAGAAGGCUGAUGCAGCUAUUGCAAAAAAGUAGAGGUGUUAAGUAUAUCAAGAAUUCAGAAACAAGAAUAAUGAAAUUUGUGGAGUGUCUGAGUAAUCUUGGUCUACCAUGUUCUAAGAAGCUACGCCAAGAUAUGCCUAUUAGGUGGAUUACACUUAUCAAAUGCUUGAAAGUGCUCUUCAAUAUCAGGAAGCUUAAAUUCACUAUAACUUGCUUGACAUUGAUUUUAAACACGGGCUUUCUGAAGAUGAAUGGAAAAGGGAUCUUCAAUAUCGGGAAGCUUACAUUCACAAUAACUUGAUUGACAUUGAUUUUAAACACGGACUUUCUGAAGAUGAAUGGAAAAGGGUCGAGUUUAUAGCUAAGUUUCUUAAACCAUUUUAUGACAUUACGACUUUUUUUCUGGAUGUAAGUAUCCCACGGCUAAUUUGUAUCUUCCUAAUGUAUGGAGAAUUGAAAUAUUGUUGGAAGAAAAAAAAUAGUAGAGAUUCAGUGAUGAGUGAGAUGGACACUUCAAUGUUGGUGAAGUUUAAGAAAUAUUGGGAGUCAUAUAGUGUCAUUUUAUCUAUAGCUAUUGUCCUGGACCCUCGAUACAAUUUGAAGUUUGUGAAGUUUGCUUUUUAAAGCUUCAUCCCGAGGAGAUUGCUAAUGAAAAAGUAAAGGUUAUUGAACAUAACCUACAAUUGUUGUUCAAAGAGUACUUAAUACCUUCGACUAUAGCCUCAUUAUUAGGGGAUCAUGCUUGUAGCAGUGGUAGAAAUGAA
rnacentral:lncRNA from 1 species